GGCGGACGGGUGAGUAACACGUGGGAACGUGCCUUUUGGUUCGGAAUAACUCAGGGAAACUUGUGCUAAUACCGAAUGUGCCCUUCGGGGGAAAGAUUUAUCGCCAUUAGAGCGGCCCGCGUCUGAUUAGCUAGUUGGUGAGGUAACGGCUCACCAAGGCGACGAUCAGUAGCUGGUCUGAGAGGAUGACCAGCCACACUGGGACUGAGACACGGCCCAGACUCCUACGGGAGGCAGCAGUGGGGAAUCUUGCGCAAUGGGCGAAAGCCUGACGCAGCCAUGCCGCGUGAAUGAUGAAGGUCUUAGGAUUGUAAAAUCUUUCACCGGGGGACCGAUUAUUGACCGGGUACCCCGGAGAAAGAAGCCCCGGGCUAAACUUCGGUGCCCAGCCACCCCGCGGUAAUACGAAAGGGGCUAGCGUGCUCGAAUUACUGGGCGUAAAGGGCGCGUAGGCGGAUCGUUAAGUCAGAGGUGAAUCCCCAGGGCUCAACCUGGAACUGCCUUUGAUACUGGCGAUCUUGAGUAUGAGAGAGGUAUGUGGAACUCCGAGUGUAGAGGUGAAAUUCGUAGAUAUUCGGAAGAACACCAGUGGCGAAGGCGACAUACUGGCUCAUUACUGACGCUGAGGCGCGAAAGCGUGGGGAGCAAACAGGAUUAGAUACCUGGUAGUCCACGCCGUAAACGAUGAUUGCUAGUUGUCGGGCUGCAUGCAGUU
rnacentral:rRNA from 1 species